UACGUAGGGUGCGAGCGUUGUCCGGAUUUAUUGGGCAUAAAGAGCUCGUAGGCGGUUUGUCGCGUCGGCCGUGAAAUCUCCACGCUUAACGUGGAGCGUGCGGUCGAUACGGGCAGACUUGAGUUCGGUAGGGGAGACUGGAAUUCCUGGUGUAGCGGUGAAAUGCGCAGAUAUCAGGAGGAACACCGACGGCGAAGGCAGCUUACUGGGCCGAUACUGACGCUGAGGAGCGAAAGCGUGGGUAGCAAACAGG
rnacentral:rRNA from 1 species